rnacentral:rRNA from 1 species
UUUAAGCGCAUGCUUUAAGACCGGCUUGCGUCACAUUAGUUAGUUGGCAGGGUAAAGGCCUACCAAGACUAUGAUGUGUAGCUGGACUGAGAGGUUGAACAGCCACAUUGGGACUGAGACAGGGGCCAAACUCCUACGGGAGGCAGCAGUAGGGAAUUUUCGGCAAUGGAGGAAACUCUGACCGAGCAACGCCGCGUGAACGAUGAAGUAUUUCGGUAUGUAAAGUUCUUUUAUUGAAGAAGAAAAAAUAGUGGAAAAACUAUCUUGACGAUAUUCAAUGAAUAAGCCCCGGCAAACUAUGUGCCAGCAGCCGCGGUAAUACAUAGGGGGCGAGCGUUAUCCGGAAUUAUUGGGCGUAAAGGGUGCGUAGGCGGUUUAAUAAGUCUAUAGUUUAAUUUCAGUGCUUAACACUGUCCUGCUAUAGAAACUAUUAGACUAGAGUGAGAUAGAGGCAAGUGGAAUUCCAUGUGUAGCGGUAAAAUGCGUAAAUAUAUGGAGGAACACCAGAGGCGUAGGCGGCUUGCUGGGUCUUUACUGACGCUGAGGCACGAAAGCGUGGGGAGCAAACAGGAUUAGAUACCCUGGUAGUCCACGCCGUAAACGAUGAGUACUAAGUGUCGGGAUUACUCGGUACUGAAGUUAACACAUUAAGUACUCCGCCUGAGUAGUACGUACGCAAGUAUGAAACUUAAAGGAAUUGACGGGACUCCGCACAAGCGGUGGAUCAUGUUGUUUAAUUCGAAGAUACACGAAAAACCUUACCAGGUCUUGACAUACUCUGCAAAGCUAUAGCAAUAUAGUGGAGGUUAUCAGGGAUACAGGUGGUGCAUGGUUGUCGUCAGCUCGUGUCGUGAGAUGUUAGGUUAAGUCCUAAAACGAGCGCAACCCUUGUCAUUAGUUGCCAGCAUGUCAUGAUGGGCACUUUAAUGAGACUGCCAAUGAAAAAUUGGAGGAAGGUGAGGAUCACGUCAAAUCAUCAUGCCCCUUAUGAUCUGGGCUACAAACGUGAUACAAUGGCUGUUACAAAGAGUAGCUGAAACGCAAGUUUAUAGCCAAUCUCAUAAAAGCAGUCUCAGUUCGGAUUGAAGUCUGCAACUCGACUUCAUGAAGUUGGAAUCGCUAGUAAUCGCGAAUCAGCAUGUCGCGGUGAAUACGUUCUCCGGAAAA